rnacentral:rRNA from 1 species
UGGGGAAUUUUGGACAAUGGGGGAAACCCUGAUCCAGCCAUCCCGCGUGUGCGAUGAAGGCCUUCGGGUUGUAAAGCACUUUUGGCAGGAAAGAAACGUCAUGGGUUAAUACCCCGUGAAACUGACGGUACCUGCAGAAUAAGCACCGGCUAACUACGUGCCAGCAGCCGCGGUAAUACGUAGGGUGCAAUCGUUACUCGGAUUUACUGGGCGUAAAGCGUGCGCAGGAGGUUCGGAAAGAAAAAUGUGAAAUCCAAGAGCUCAACUUUGGAACUGCAUUAUUAACUACCGGGCUAGAGUGUGUCAGAGGGAGGUGGAAUUCCGAGUGUAGCAGUGAAAUGCGUAGAUAUGCGGAGGAACACCGAUGGCGAAGGCAGCCACCUGGGAUAACACUGACGCUCAUGCACGAAAGCGUGGGGAGCAAACAGG